CGUUAGCGGUGGACGGGUGAGUAACACGUGGGUAACCUACCUAUAAGACUGGGAUAACUUCGGGAAACCGGAGCUAAUACCGGAUAAUAUUUCGAACCGCAUGGUUCGAUAGUGAAAGAUGGUUUUGCUAUCACUUAUAGAUGGACCUGCGCCGUAUUAGCUAGUUGGUAAGGUAACGGCUUACCAAGGCGACGAUACGUAGCCGACCUGAGAGGGUGAUCGGCCACACUGGAACUGAGACACGGUCCAGACUCCUACGGGAGGCAGCAGUG
rnacentral:rRNA from 1 species